CCUACGGGAGGCAGCAGUGAGGAAUAUUGGUCAAUGGGCGAGAGCCUGAACCAGCCAAGUCGCGUGAGGGAGUACUGCCCUAUGGGUUGUAAACCUCUUUUGUCGGGGAGCAAAAGCCGGACGUGUCCGGCUGUGAGAGUACCCGAAGAAAAAGCAUCGGCUAACUCCGUGCCAGCAGCCGCGGUAAUACGGAGGAUGCGAGCGUUAUCCGGAUUUAUUGGGUUUAAAGGGUGCGUAGGCGGUUCGAUAAGUUAGAGGUGAAAUCCCGGGGCUCAACUCCGGCACUGCCUCUGAUACUGUCGGGCUAGAGUUUAGUUGCGGUAGGCGGAAUGUAUGGUGUAGCGGUGAAAUGCAUAGAGAUCAUACAGAACACCGAUUGCGAAGGCAGCUUACCAAACUACGACUGACGUUGAGGCACGAAAGCGUGGGGAGCAAACAGGAUUAGAUACCCUUGUAGUC
rnacentral:rRNA from 1 species